AACACAUGCAAGUCGAGGGGAAACGACAUCGAAAGCUUGCUUUUGAUGGGCGUCGACCGGCGCACGGGUGAGUAACGCGUAUCCAACCUGCCCACCACUUGGGGAUAACCUUGCGAAAGUAAGACUAAUACCCAAUGAUAUCUCUAGAAGACAUCUGAAAGAGAUUAAAGAUUUAUCGGUGAUGGAUGGGGAUGCGUCUGAUUAGCUUGUUGGCGGGGUAACGGCCCACCAAGGCAACGAUCAGUAGGGGUUCUGAGAGGAAGGUCCCCCACAUUGGAACUGAGACACGGUCCAAACUCCUACGGGAGGCAUCAGUGAGGAAUAUUGGUCAAUGGACGAGAGUCUGAACCAGCCAAGUAGCGUGCAGGAUGACGGCCCUAUGGGUUGUAAACUGCUUUUAUAAGGGAAUAAAGUGAGUCUCGUGAGACUUUUUGCAUGUACCUUAUGAAUAAGGACCGGCUAAUUCCGUGCCAGCAGCCGCGGUAAUACGGAAGGUCCGGGCGUUAUCCGGAUUUAUUGGGUUUAAAGGGAGCGUAGGCCGGAGAUUAAGCGUGUUGUGAAAUGUAGAUGCUCAACAUCUGCACUGCAGCGCGAACUGGUUUCCUUGAGUACGCACAAAGUGGGCGGAAUUCGUGGUGUAGCGGUGAAAUGCUUAGAUAUCACGAAGAACUCCGAUUGCGAAGGCAGCUCACUGGAGCGCAACUGACGCUGAAGCUCGAAAGUGCGGGUAUCGAACAGGAUUAGAUACCCUGGUAGUCCGCA
rnacentral:rRNA from 1 species